rnacentral:lncRNA from 1 species
GUGAAUUUGGUCACUUAAUUAAGAAUUUUGUUAAUUAUAGACAUAGUUAUAUUUUUUAUUCAUUCUUCUCAUACUAGCUUCUCUGCUAGGACACACAGUGUGUAGAACCAUUAUGUACCUGAUUUUUGUAAUACCAUUUGAGCUUUGUGUUAAUGAAAAGGAUUGUUGUAGUAACCAAAUUUUUUUAAUUGCUAUGCUAUGUAUCAGUUCAUAA